GACCGCGUAGCUCAGUUGGCAGAGCAUUGGGCUAGUAUCCAAAGGUCGUAGGUUCGAAUCCCACCGUGGCCA